rnacentral:rRNA from 1 species
UCAGACGAUGCGUCAUGCAUAUCAAUAAGCGGAGGAAAAGAAACUAACAAGGAUUCCCCUAGUAACGGCGAGUGAAGCGGGAAGAGCUCAAAUUUGAAAUCUUAAAGGGUUUCCCUUUACGAAUUGUAGUUUAAAGAAGUGUUUUCUGUUGAGGUUUUGGUAAAAGUUCUUUGGAAUAGGACAUCAUAGAGGGUGAGAAUCCCGUAUUUGACCUUUACUUUCAACUUUGUGAUACACUUUCAAGGAGUCGGAUUGUUUGGGAAUGCAGUCCAAAAUGGGUGGUAAAUUUCAUCUAAAGCUAAAUAUUGGCGAGAGACCGAUAGCGAACAAGUACCGUGAGGGAAAGAUGAAAAGAACUUUGAAAAGAGAGUUAAACAGUACGUGAAAUUGUCAAAAGGGUAGCGUUUGACACCAGUGUUGUUAUUCUGAAAAUCAAUUAAAGAACUGUUUAUGCUAAGCUGUUUAGACUUUAUCAGCUAUCUGUUUAGUUUUGAGCUUUUCUUUAAUGCACUUUUCAGUUAACAAGUCAACAUCAAUUUCUUUUGCUGUAAAAAAGCUUGAGGAAGGUGGCUUGAGAUUCGUCUUAAGUGUUUAUAGCCUCUUGCCUAUGCAGUCGGAGAGAUUGAGGUCUGCAGCGUAGAUCCUUCGGGGCUAAAUGCAUUUGUGCUAAGUUAUAGCAUUUUAUAGACAACUUGUUGACUAUGAUUUGUCUUGUAGCUUACUCGCUUAUGUUAUUUUACCUACGCUUAGGAUGUUGACACACGCGCGUGCUCG